rnacentral:rRNA from 1 species
GACGAACGCUGGCGGCGUGCUUAACACAUGCAAGUCGAACGGAAAGGCCCAGCUUGCUGGGUGCUCGAGUGGCGAACGGGUGAGUAACACGUGGGUGAUCUGCCCCUAACUUCGGGAUAAGCUUGGGAAACUGGGUCUAAUACCGGAUAGGACAAUCGUUUAGUGUCGGUUGUGGAAAGUUUUUUCGGUUAGGGAUGAGCCCGCGGCCUAUCAGCUUGUUGGUGGGGUAAUGGCCUACCAAGGCGUCGACGGGUAGCCGGCCUGAGAGGGUGGACCGCCACAUUGGGACUGAGAUACGGCCCAGACUCCUACGGGAGGCAGCAGUGGGGAAUAUUGCACAAUGGGCGCAAGCCUGAUGCAGCGACGCCGCGUGGGGGAUGACGGCCUUCGGGUUGUAAACCUCUUUCGACAGGGACGAAGCUUUGGUGACGGUACCUGUAUAAGAAGCACCGGCUAACUACGU